UAUAACACAGUAGGCUUGUUGAAUUAAUGUGCAUGUUUUCUAAAUCCAGCAAUACCAAAUACGUAAAUAUACCAUACACAGUCAUUUAAAAAUGCUGAUGGAGAGUUAAUGAAGCUCAUUUUCUGCUUUCUAAGUGCUUUAUUUUCCCUUCAAACCUGAAGAAAAUCUGUUUAAAUGAAAUGAUGAAUGAGGACCAAUGAAACUGCUUUGACUCAAUAAUAAAACGACUGGUUCAACCCCACAGCCGCAGAAGGCCUUAUAAGCUGUUCUUCAGUCAGUCUCAGCACACACAGCGUCGUCCUGCUCAGCUUGAAGCCACUUUUCAUCAAAUCUGCUGCGAAGCUGACAGACUGGAAGACGCACAUGACUUCCAAACAUCCCUUCUACUACGCCUGUGGCUGCCCGCGUCCUUUCCCGGGCAGAGCCACGGGAGCUCGAUGGGCUGGGGCGAAGCGGGAGACACCAACCCGAAUAACUGCUGCCAGAACCAGGCAAGAGCUGCAGUGUAACGACCCCGAGCAGCCACGGACGGACAGCUUCACUACCAGGCCACAGGCCGCCCUUACGAAAAUCCACUAUGGUUUUAAACCAUAGUGGAUUUUCGUAAGGACGCACACGCUGGGGGUGAUUCAUUGAGGCACAGUGACUCACCGAUUUGUGGAGUUGUGCCAGCAGCCUUGAAGGAAGUCUCCACCUGGCAGGCAUUGCAUGGGCUGAGAAUGCUUUUGAUGAAGAGAUGAGCAACAGCAACUCUUUGCAGCUCUGUCGCAAAGGACUUUGAGCACCAAAUCUGCUGCAAAGAUGGAAGACUGGAAGACACAGAUGACAGUCAGCUCUCCCAUGGAGGUCUGCUUCUCACCAGCCUUUUUACCCUCCCAGACUCGUGGAGUCCUGGCAGCAGCCCUGAAGUGAGUCUCCCCCUGGCAGACGUCAUUACAUGGGCUGAGAAUGCUCUGGAUAAUGAGACAAGAGCGACUCUGACACUGCUGAAGCUGUUUCCAGCUCUGUCACAGAGGAUGCAACUACAGUUCCACUCUGCAUGCUCCCAUCACUGCUCCAGAGAAGGCUGCAGAGGAACCCCAAAGAGAGGCCUGGGUUUUCUCAGAGAAGCAAUUAAAUAUUCUUCUCCAUCACUUCAGUCUGUAGACUCAUCCCACCUGAAAUGGAAGAGCUGGCAGAGCUGACAGGACUGACCUACAAACAGGUGAAGACGUGGUUUCAGAACAGAAGAGCAACAAUGAGGAGAAGAAACAAAGAUGCCAACUGGUGCUCAGAGCAUCAACACCCCAAAAAGGACUGUCCACUUCAUGGACCUUUAAGCAACAUCCCCCCACAUGUCCCUCAUUUUCAGGGAGAGGAACAGCCCCCCCCUCAGGACGCACUACAGCCAGCCUGGGAUGGAUACAAACACUUUUCAUGCUGCGUUACCUGAUAGCGCCCCCUCCUGGACUUUAUCACAUUCAGCUGUGCCCAGCUUGCCACAGAUGGUCACCUGGUCCGUGCCUCGAGCAUUUCCACCAUCUUGGCUGCAAAACUCCACGUGUGAUGAGGAGGGGUGAGGCUGACUGUGGAUCUGCAGGCUGGUGGCUUUCAGAUAGAAAGCAGCUUCAAAGCACUUCUACACUGGCUGCAGUUUUUUCAGUGUGGAAGCUACAUCCAUGUUUUAUACUG